GGGUUGUGAGGUUAAGCGACUAAGCGUACACGGUGGAUGCCCUGGCAGUCAGAGGCGAUGAAGGACGUGCUAAUCUGCGAUAAGCGUCGGUAAGGUGAUAUGAACCGUUAUAACCGGCGAUUUCCGAAUGGGGAAACCCAGUGUGUUUCGACACACUAUCAUUAACUGAAUCCAUAGGUUAAUGAGGCGAACCGGGGGAACUGAAACAUCUAAGUACCCCGAGGAAAAGAAAUCAACCGAGAUUCCCCCAGUAGCGGCGAGCGAACGGGGAGCAGCCCAGAGCCUGAAUCAGUGUGUGUGUUAGUGGAAGCGUCUGGAAAGGCGCGCGAUACAGGGUGACAGCCCCGUACACAAAAAUGCACAUGCUGUGAGCUCGAUGAGUAGGGCGGGACACGUGGUAUCCUGUCUGAAUAUGGGGGGACCAUCCUCCAAGGCUAAAUACUCCUGACUGACCGAUAGUGAACCAGUACCGUGAGGGAAAGGCGAAAAGAACCCCGGCGAGGGGAGUGAAAAAGAACCUGAAACCGUGUACGUACAAGCAGUGGGAGCACGCUUAGGCGUGUGACUGCGUACCUUUUGUAUAAUGGGUCAGCGACUUAUAUUCUGUAGCAAGGUUAACCGAAUAGGGGAGCCGAAGGGAAACCGAGUCUUAACUGGGCGUUAAGUUGCAGGGUAUAGACCCGAAACCCGGUGAUCUAGCCAUGGGCAGGUUGAAGGUUGGGUAACACUAACUGGAGGACCGAACCGACUAAUGUUGAAAAAUUAGCGGAUGACUUGUGGCUGGGGGUGAAAGGCCAAUCAAACCGGGAGAUAGCUGGUUCUCCCCGAAAGCUAUUUAGGUAGCGCCUCGUGAAUUCAUCUCCGGGGGUAGAGCACUGUUUCGGCAAGGGGGUCAUCCCGACUUACCAACCCGAUGCAAACUGCGAAUACCGGAGAAUGUUAUCACGGGAGACACACGGCGGGUGCUAACGUCCGUCGUGAAGAGGGAAACAACCCAGACCGCCAGCUAAGGUCCCAAAGUCAUGGUUAAGUGGGAAACGAUGUGGGAAGGCCCAGACAGCCAGGAUGUUGGCUUAGAAGCAGCCAUCAUUUAAAGAAAGCGUAAUAGCUCACUGGUCGAGUCGGCCUGCGCGGAAGAUGUAACGGGGCUAAACCAUGCACCGAAGCUGCGGCAGCGACGCUGAUGCGUUGUUGGGUAGGGGAGCGUUCUGUAAGCCUGCGAAGGUGUGCUGUGAGGCAUGCUGGAGGUAUCAGAAGUGCGAAUGCUGACAUAAGUAACGAUAAAGCGGGUGAAAAGCCCGCUCGCCGGAAGACCAAGGGUUCCUGUCCAACGUUAAUCGGGGCAGGGUGAGUCGACCCCUAAGGCGAGGCCGAAAGGCGUAGUCGAUGGGAAACAGGUUAAUAUUCCUGUACUUGGUGUUACUGCGAAGGGGGGACGGAGAAGGCUAUGUUGGCCGGGCGACGGUUGUCCCGGUUUAAGCGUGUAGGCUGGUUUUCCAGGCAAAUCCGGAAAAUCAAGGCUGAGGCGUGAUGACGAGGCACUACGGUGCUGAAGCAACAAAUGCCCUGCUUCCAGGAAAAGCCUCUAAGCAUCAGGUAACAUCAAAUCGUACCCCAAACCGACACAGGUGGUCAGGUAGAGAAUACCAAGGCGCUUGAGAGAACUCGGGUGAAGGAACUAGGCAAAAUGGUGCCGUAACUUCGGGAGAAGGCACGCUGAUAUGUAGGUGAAGUCCCUCGCGGAUGGAGCUGAAAUCAGUCGAAGAUACCAGCUGGCUGCAACUGUUUAUUAAAAACACAGCACUGUGCAAACACGAAAGUGGACGUAUACGGUGUGACGCCUGCCCGGUGC
rnacentral:rRNA from 1 species